GAUGAACGCUGGCGGUAUGCUUAACACAUGCAAGUCGAACGGACUCUUCGGGGUUAGUGCCGGACGGGUGAGUAACGCGUGAGAAUCUGCCUUUGGGUUUGGCACAACCACUGGAAACGGUUCCUAAUACCGGAUGUGCUGCGAGGUAAAAGCGAAAUUGCCUGAAGAUGAGUUCGCGUCUGAUUAGCUAGUUGGUGAGGUAAAGUCUCACCAAGUCAGCGAUCAGUAGCUGGUCUGAAAGGAUGACCAGCCACACUGGGACUGGGACGCGGCACAGACUACUACGGGAGGCAGGAGUGGAGCAUUUUCCAGAAAGGGCGAAAGUCUGACGGAGCAAUACCGAGUGAGGGAAGAAGGCUCUUGGGUUGUAAACCUCUUUUCUUAGGGAAGAACAAAAUGACGUUACCUAAGGAAUCAGCAUCGGCUAACUCCGUG
rnacentral:rRNA from 1 species